rnacentral:rRNA from 1 species
UACCAGCACCCCGAGUGGUCGGGACGAUUAUUGGACCUAAAGCAUCCGUAGCCGGUCAUGCAAGUCUUCCGUUAAAUCCAGCCGCUCAACGGUUGGGCUGCGGAGGAUACUACGUGGCUAGGAGGCGGGAGAGGCAAGCGGUACUCAGUGGGUAGGGGUAAAAUCCUUUGAUCCAUUGAAGACCACCAGUGGCGAAGGCGGCUUGCCAGAACGCGCUCGACGGUGAGGGAUGAAAGCUGGGGGGAGCAAACCGG